UACGGGGGGAGCAAGCGUUGUUCGGAUUUACUGGGCGUAAAGGGCGCGUAGGCGGCCAGCGCAAGUCAGUUGUGAAAUCUCCGGGCUUAACUCGGAACGGUCAACUGAUACUGCGCGGCUAGAGUGCAGAAGGGGCAACUGGAAUUCUCGGUGUAGCGGUGAAAUGCGUAGAUAUCGAGAGGAACACCUGCGGCGAAGGCGGGUUGCUGGGCUGACACUGACGCUGACAGCGCGAAAGCUAGGGGAGCGAACAGG
rnacentral:rRNA from 1 species